rnacentral:rRNA from 1 species
AUUGAACGCUGGCGGCAUGCCUUACACAUGCAAGUCGAACGGCAGCACGGGGCAACCUGGUGGCGAGUGGCGAACGGGUGAGUAAUGCAUCGGAACGUACCUUUCAGUGGGGGAUAACGUAGCGAAAGUUACGCUAAUACCGCAUAUUCUGUGUGCAGGAAAGCAGGGGAUCGCAAGACCUUGCGCUGAUUGAGCGGCCGAUGUCAGAUUAGCUAGUUGGUGAGGUAAAGGCUCACCAAGGCGACGAUCUGUAGCGGGUCUGAGAGGAUGAUCCGCCACACUGGAACUGCGACACGGUCCAGACUCCUACGGGAGGCAGCAGUGGGGAAUUUUUGACAAUGGGGGCAACCCUGAUCCAGCCAUGCCGCGUGAGUGAAGAAGGCCUUCGGGUUGUAAAGCUCUUUCGGCCGGGAAGAAAUCGCACGGGCUAAUACCCUGUGUGGAUGACGGUACCGGAAUAAGAAGCACCGGCUAACUACGUGCCAGCAGCCGCCGUAAAAC